AUUGAACGCUGGCGGCAGGCUUAACACAUGCAAGUCGAGCGGAGAUGAGGUGCUUGCACCUUAUCUUAGCGGCGGACGGGUGAGUAAUGCUUAGGAAUCUGCCUAUUGGUGGGGGACAACAUUCCGAAAGGAAUGCUAAUACCGCAUACGCCCUACGGGGGAAAGCAGGGGAUCUUCGCACCUUGCGCUAAUAGAUGAGCCUAAGUCGGAGUGGCGAGUUGGUGGGGUAAAGGUCUACCAAGGCGACGAUCUGUAGCGGGUCUGAGAGGAUGAUCCGCAACACUGGGACUGAGACACGGCCCAGACUCCUACGGGAGGCAGCGGUGGGGAAUAUUGGACAAUGGGCGGAAGCCUGAUCCAGCCAUGCCGCGUGUGUGAAGGAGGCCUUUUGGUUGUAAAGCACUUUAUGCGAGGAGGAGGCUACCUGGAUUAAUACUCUAGGAUAGUGGACGUUACUCGCAGAAUAAGCACCGGCUAACUCUGUGCCAGCAGCCGCCGUAACAC
rnacentral:rRNA from 1 species